rnacentral:rRNA from 1 species
UACGUAGGGUGCAAGCGUUAAUCGGUAUUACUGGGCGUAAAGCGUGCGCAGGCGGUUUUGUAAGUCUGUCGUGAAAUCCCCGGGCUCAACCUGGGAAUUGCGAUGGAGACUGCAAGGCUAGAAUCUGGCAGAGGGGGGUAGAAUUCCACGUGUAGCAGUGAAAUGCGUAGAGAUGUGGAGGAACACCGAUGGCGAAGGCAGCCCCCUGGGUCAAGAUUGACGCUCAUGCACGAAAGCGUGGGGAGCAAACAGG